rnacentral:lncRNA from 1 species
AAAGUCACCGAUAGGAGAUGAAAGUCUUUCAGAGUUGCGCAAACCACCCUACAUGGAACAGCCAGUGACAGAGAGAAAACCACCCUACAUGGAACAGCCAGUGACAGAGAGAAAACCACCCUACAUGGAACAGCCAGUGACAGAGAGAAAACCACCCUACAUGGAACAGCCAGUGACAGAGAGAAAACAGGAUCCUCUGCAGAACAGAGUACGUUUUAAAGAGCUGCUGCCUGGUGGACAAGCCAUAGUGUUCUUCCACUCCACGAAGCCUCGCCCAGUUGUCUACCUCUGGUGAAGCAGCAGAGAGUCAGAGAAAACGAGGGCAGCUACACCUGCGGAUGGCUGGCUGAACAAGUGUAUCAGUGUCUUUGGGGUGCUGUGUCUCAGCUUGUUUGGCCCUCUCGUCUGGAAUGUGCAGAUGAGACAAUCAGGUGCAGAAGGCGUG